rnacentral:rRNA from 1 species
AGCGUGCGCAGGCGGCUUUGCAAGACAGAUGUGAAAUCCCCGGGCUCAACCUGGGAACUGCAUUUGUGACUGCAUGGCUAGAGUACGGUAGAGGGGGAUGGAAUUCCGCGUGUAGCAGUGAAAUGCGUAGAUAUGCGGAGGAACGCCGAUGGCGAAGGCAAUCCCCUGGACCUGUACUGACGCUCAUGCACGAAAGCGUGGGGAGCAAACAGGAUUAGAUACCCUGGUAGUCCACGCCCUAAACGAUGUCAACUGGUUGUUGGACGGCUUGCUGUUCAGUAACGAAGCUAACGCGUGAAGUUGACCGCCUGGGGAGUACGGCCGCAAGGUUGAAACUCAAAGGGAUUGA